rnacentral:rRNA from 1 species
AUCGGGGUAUGAUGAGCCCGCGUUGGAUUAGCUAGUUGGUGGGGUAAAGGCCUACCAAGGCGACGAUCCAUAGCUGGUCUGAGAGGAUGAUCAGCCACAUUGGGACUGAGACACGGCCCAAACUCCUACGGGAGGCAGCAGUGGGGAAUAUUGGACAAUGGGCGCAAGCCUGAUCCAGCCAUGCCGCGUGAGUGAUGAAGGCCUUAGGGUUGUAAAGCUCUUUCAACGGUGAAGAUAAUGACGGUAACCGUAGAAGAAGCCCCGGCUAACUUCGUGCCA